rnacentral:rRNA from 1 species
UGCCUUCAGGAUGGGGACAACAGACGGAAACGACUGCUAAUACCGAAUAAGUUCCAAGAGCCGCAUGGCCCAUGGAAGAAAAGGUGGCCUCUACCUGUAAGCUAUCGCCUGAAGAGGGGUUUGCGUCUGAUUAGCUGGUUGGAGGGGUAACGGGCCCACCAAGGCGACGAUCAGUAGCCGGUCUGAGAGGAUGAACGGCCACACUGGAACUGAGACACGGUCCAGACUCCUACGGGAGGCAGCAUG